ACAAUAUAGCAGGCAGCUCCGCGUUCUGCGCCUGCCCGCUGACCGAGCUCUCUCUCCCGCCUCCGCUUUCCAUCUUCUGCCGUAGAUGGAGUCUCCGUUCCCUGGGCGAGGCGAAGGAGAGGUGCAGAGACAUAUUGGAAUGCAACCUCCACAAAGGAAGGCCUGAGCUGAGAUUUGAAAACUGAAACCCAGAACUGUGAAGCGAAAGUGCCAACCACUAGGGCACUAUAGUGCCAACACUCUUGUUUCCCCGAUCGAACCUGUGUGUACCGACCUUCGUCCGUUCUCCGACCAACCCUGUAAGCCUGACUCCUUGACACUCCUGCCUGCGUUGAUUGGUUCCCCGUGUACCGACUCCUGCCUGUCCGCUCAUCUGCUCUCUUCGCCCGACGUCCCAACUACCGCUGCUGCACCGGACUGCCUGCUCGAUCCCCGACCUCUGCCUACAAUAAACGUGUCUCUUCUUGAACUACCUUGCGUCUUCCGAGUUCCUGCAUUUGGGUCCUACCUCUCGUUCCGAUGGGACGUGACAGAUGCUGUGAUAUUGACUAAUCAGACCCAAGCUGUUUUUCAUACUUUAAUUAUGAAAGAUGAGUAGUAUUGUCUUGAGCAGUGUUUGCCAACUUUUAAUGAGCCGGGGAACAUAUUUUACAUCAGAAGAACUCUCCAGGCACACCACUCAAA